rnacentral:lncRNA from 1 species
GGAUGGAAGAAAUAAAACUGUCUUUUUCUGCAGAUGAUAUGAUUGCCUAUAUAGAAAAUCUGAAAGAAUCAACAGAAUAACUGAAACUUUAUAAUAAUUUUAUAGCAAGCAUGCAGGAUACAAGGACAAAUGGUAAUUUAUUAUGUUCUCCAGAAACUGAUUUUGCAACAUUGCUAAACUAGCAGACUGGAGAGAUGCUCACAAUUCUCAGAUGAUAUGAGUGUUUCUCUGCAUGGGCAUCAGAGCUGCCACUGCUUGACAUUCCAAGAACUUCCCAGCUACAGGUUCAUCACCUUCUCCUCCCAGGAAAGACAUGUGAGAUUCUGCACAGAGACAGGAAUGUCGUGCCAAAGAGCCUGAAGUCAUGCCAGUGGUGGAGUGCUGAUUGGAACAGACUGGGUUUGGAUGACAUCUCUACUCAUCUGUAAUGGAAGCUGUGUCAAAGUAAACCUUCCUCAGGAGAUAGGAAAAAUUUUGAAAAACUCUGGUGGCCUUUGGGUGAUGAAGUUAAUGAUAAUUGCCACCUUUUUUCAUGAAGUUUCUUGAACUUUGACAACUUUAGGAACAAUAAUACUGAUAUUGAUAAUAUGUCAUCUUGUUCUCAUGUUCUGUGAUUCUGAAGGGAAGCAAGAACUGACCACCAUGUACAUCAGCUGGAACCUUUCUGGAAUCCACACAGUGUAAUAAUCCUUAGGAAAAGCUACCUGGGAUUCAGCUGUUACAAUCAGAAGGCCACGAACACUCAACUGGAACCUUUCAUAAUCCCAGUAAAAGGAAAGAUUCAGCUCUUGUCCUGAUUGCAGACUUUGUGU